AGAGUUUGAUCCUGGCUCAGAGCGAACGCUGGCGGCGUGCUUAACACAUGCAAGUCGAACGGGUGUAGCAAUACAUCCGUGGCGAACGGGUGCGUAACACGUGGAUAACCUUCCUUCAGGUGGGGAAUAACCCAGUGAAAAUUGGGCUAAUACCGCAUAACAAGACGAUGCCACAUGGUGUUGUCUUCAAAGCCGCAAGGCGCCAGAAGAGGGAUCCGCGGCCGAUUAGCUUGUUGGCGAGGUAAUGGCUCACCAAGGCAAUGAUCGGUAGCCGGACUGAGAGGUUGGCCGGCCACACUGGAACUGAGACACGGUCCAGACUCCUACGGGAGGCAGCAGUGGGGAAUCUUGCACAAUGGACGAAAGUCUGAUGCAGCAACGCCGCGUGGGGGAUGAAGCUUCUCGGAGUGUAAACCCCUUUCGACCUGGAAGAAUGCCCGCAAGGGUUUGACGGUACAGGUAUAAGAAGCCCCGGCUAACUACGUGCCAGCAGCCGCGGUAAUACGUAGGGGGCCAGCGUUGCUCGGAAUUACUGGGCGUAAAGGGUCCGUAGGCGGUGUGGUAAGUCGGGAGUGAAAUCCCUGGGCUUAACCCAGGGGCUGCUUCCGAAACUGCCGUGCUAGAGUGUGAGAGAGGCGAGUGGAAUUACGGGUGUAGCGGUGAAAUGCGUAGAUAUCCGUAGGAACAUCCGAGGCGAAAGCGGCUCGCUGGAUCACAACUGACGCUGAGGGACGAAAGCUAGGGGAGCAAACAGGAUUAGAUACCCUGGUAGUCCUAGCCCUAAACCAUCAGACUUGGGGUUUGCCCUGUACGGGGCAAGUCCCGUAGCUAACGCGUUAAGUCCUGCGCCUGGGGGAGUACGGUCGCA
rnacentral:rRNA from 1 species